UGUUCUGUGGCUUAGUUGGCUCAAGCGCCGGUCCGGCGAAUACGGAGUCGCAGGUUCAAAUCCCACCAGAACAC
rnacentral:tRNA from 1 species